rnacentral:rRNA from 1 species
UGGGGAAUAUUGCACAAUGGGCGCAAGCCUGAUGCAGCAAUGCCGCGUGUGUGAAGAAGGCCUGCGGGUUGUAAAGCACUUUUAUUAGGAAAGAAAAACCCGGAGCUAAUACCUCCGGCAUUGACGGUACCUAAAGAAUAAGCACCGGCUAACUCAGUG